GCGAGGAGGCCAGGCUUUGCAACCAUCUCCAUAAAGAAGGGGCAAGUUCGAGGACGGAAAGCCCACUCAAAGGGCGGGGGGCGGGGCCUGGCAAGAGGGGGUGUGGCCAGGAUCCCAGGCAGUAAAUUGUGUGGCGGGGUCUGGAUGGAAAGGCGGGGCCCGCUGAAAGAAGGCGACCCGAGUUCUGCUACUUCCUAGUAAGGGACGUCUCUGGAGAGAUUCUGAGGUGUUUGAGGCCACCCAUGGGCCUUGGCCCCGCCCCCUACUCAUGGCUGGCAGAUUCGUGGCCCCACCCAUCUCGAAGCCCCUCGGCCCAGGAACCCAGGGGAAGCUGCUGCCCUAGCAAUCCUGACCCGGACGACAGAUAUUACAACGCUCAGAGCCAGAGGAGUGGUGCCUGCCAAUGCCUGAGAGAAGUCACCUGACGGAACCCAGCUCCAGUGGAGGGUGCCUGGUCACUCCAUCCCGAAGGGAAACCCCCUCUCCCACACCUUCCUAUGGACAGCAGUCCACAGCCACUCUUACACCCUCACCUCCUGACCCUCCCCAGCCCCCAAAUGACAUGCCCCAUCUCCAUCAGAUGCCCAGGAGGGUGCCCCUUGGGCCGAGUUCCCCUCUCAGUGUAUCCCAGCCCAUGCUGGGCAUCCGUGAAGGGAGGCCUGCUGGCUUGGGUGCUGGCCCUGCAGCCUCACCCCACCUCAGCCCC
rnacentral:sRNA from 1 species